CUUUUCCUGAAAUGCUUUCUAUUUUAUAUCAUUCCGUAUGAUGUUAGCUGUGGUCUUUUCAUAUUUGACCUUUAUUAUGUUAAGGUAAUUUCCUUUUAUUGAUAAAUUCUUGUUUGAAGGACAGUUUUGCUGUAUAUAGAAUUCUCAGUUGACAGUUUUUUUUUUUUUCUUUCUGCAUUAAGAGUAUAACAACGCCACAGCCUUCUGGCUUCCAAGGUUUUUGAUGAGCAAUCAACAGUCUCACUGAGGAUUUCUUUUAUGUGAUGAUUUGCUUCUCUCUUGAUGCUUUUGAGAUUCUCCUUUUGUCUUUGGAUUUCAGCAGCUUGAUUAUAACUUGUCUUGGUGUCUCUGUGGGGUGAGGGUAGGAGUCAAUUGCAGUGCUUGUUGCCAUAGUUCAGAACCUGCACCACAAAGACCCUUCCAGUUCUGUAGAGUGGUUUAUUGCUUUAUUAUCAGUGCAAUAGAGAGUCACUGAGUCACUGGAGGUUCUCUGUGUGUGUGAGUGUAUAAAUAAAGAUUUAAUUUUGUUUUGCUCUUUUGUUUUCCCCUCGGAAUAGUUUAUCAGAUGAGGAAUUUCUUGAUCACUGGGGAGAAAUAUCUUACAAUUCUGAAAACACACUGUCAAAAUGCUUUUCAUAAAAUGUAGCACAUUUUAGGGUUUCUCCCUUGUGUGGAAAUGUUAGUGUCUAUAAAGGUCUGAACUAAGAAAGCUUCUCUCAAGCCACAACACAUGUGAGGUUCCUCUGCUGAAUGAAUCUUUUGGUGCUCAGUAAGUUGUGAUUUCCAAGCAAAGUGUUUUUCACCCUGAGAAAUUGGUGAGGUAUCUUUCUCUCAGAGUCUUUUUUAUGAAGUCUGAUGUUGAGAGGUUCUUCCAGGUUGGAGUUCUCAGGUCUGUCUCCCUUGUAGAUUAUCAGAGUGGGUCGAUAAUCUACAAGCUUUGCUAAACCUACCUGUAGCUCUUCUGGGGCAGCGGUCGUGGUGGUGGUGGCAGCGGCAGCAGGGUUCCCCAUUGAUUUUCUAAAUGUUUGUAGUCCUUUUGUAAAGUGGACCCUUGCCUUCUAAGGUAAUGGUGAAUGAUACAUAUUCCCUUCAUUUUUCUGCUUUGAAGCUUCAAUCUUCUUCAUUUUCUCUUUUGAUCUGUCAACACAAUCAGAACAUUUAGCUCUUUGAGCAUCUUUAAGGCAGUUGCUUUAAAGUCUGUCUAGUGAGUCAAUGUUUGGUCUUCCUCAUGUCCAUUUUUUGUUGGUUUAUUUUGUGCCUUUGAAUGGUCAAUACUUGUUUCUUUGUAUGCAUCGUGAUUGUUUUUGUUGACAGCUAGACAUUUGAAUUUUAUAAUGUGGCAACUCUGGAAAUAAGAUUAUUCCUUUUUCCCCAGGGUUUAUUUUUUGUUGUUGUUUUUUGUGUUGUGUGUUUUUUGUUUUCGUUUUUGUUUUACUGUCAUAGGCUGUCUCUGUGCUAGGGAUCAGCCUGUGUUGAAUGCCUAAAGUUGUCUCAAUUCUUUACAGAGCCUGCGUUUUUCCCUGGGCGGGAGCAAUGGCUUUCUGAAUUCACCUAGAUACACAGUUUUUUGAAUGUCCAGAAAAACAGGUUUCAUCCCUUUUUUCUCCUGGAAGCCACUUUAGCCAGUUGGGGGUUGGGAGAAUGGUAGCUUGCUUCUUUGUCUGCUCUUUCUCUGUGAUCAGAAGUAGAUAUCUGCAAUCAGAACCCUGAUAUUUGGAGGAAGUGGCUAUUAUUGUCCACCCUGGCUGCAGCAAGCUGACCCAGAAAUGUGGGGUUGUGUCUCCACAGCUGCCUGCCAUGGAGUGGGUGGGGAUGGGUAGCUGCUACUUCACUGAAGGCUGAAAUCCACCAAUGUUAACUGCAAUUUACCACUCAGAAUUUCCCCUAGAAGCUACAAGUGUUCAGAUGGACUCAUGUGCUCCCAAAAUAAUCACUUUAGGAACUUUCUGCCGAUGUAAUUAUUAUCUAGGUGGAGAGGUGGAUUCCUGGGCCACUCUAUCCAUGUCUUUGAUUUUUCCUGCUUUCUUGAAGAUUUCUUCAACUUUAUCUUCCAGCUCUACUAUUAAAUGUUGUGAAUGUUUUUAUCUCUGCUGUCAUAUUUUUAUUUCCAAGUGCAUUAUCUGAUUCUUUCUUCCUUUUUUCUAAUUGGUUUUGUUUCAUAGGUGAAAUAUUUUUUCUCUGAGCAUGUUAAUUAUAGUGUCUUUCUGUGUUAUUCUGCUCCCUGCAUUAUCCCUGUUUCCUUUGAGUUGUUUUCACCUGUUUUCUGUCUCUCACACUGGAGGCUUUCCUGAAGCCUCUGAUGAUCUUUGACUAUUUAUAUUUAAGAGCAGGGCUCUAAAAAGCUGAUUGGAAGGUGUUUUAGGUACUUCAGCACCAUCCAACAGUAAUAUAAUGUGAGCCACAUACAUAAUUUCAAAUUUUCUAGUAGCCACUUUUAGAAAAUAAAACAGGUAAAAUUAAAAAUGUAUUUUACUUCACCCAAUAUAUCCAUAAUAUUAUUUCAUCAUGUAAUCAAUGUAAAAAAGUAUUGAGACAUUUUGU
rnacentral:lncRNA from 1 species